UGAAAAAAAUAAGUACACUAAGAAACCACUUGCUAAUAUUCAUCAGGUCACCUAUAGCAAGAAGAAAGAACAGAUAUGAAAAAAAAAAAGACAAGCGAGCCAAAAAUAUCUUAAUAUCACCACCUUGCCUCAUAGACACACAUUACUAACUUGAGGCCAUGUUUUGUGUCAAAUCUUAAAAAAAUGCUUUUCAGAAAAAGGCUGAUGUAUCAGAAAAUCUGUAUAUUAAUUUAAUUUCAAGUAAAAGAUGCCAUCAUGUCCACUGUUUCAUUAAUUGAACAUGUGAAGCAUGAGGAAUAGAAAAAAAAUAAAGAUGACGUUAUGGAAAUACCAAUACCACAAGUAUAGCAAGGCAGCGCAUAAAAAAAGGACAUAAAAAAAGGACAUCCCCAGAGUCCAAAAUACUCCACUUAGGCUUCGUUUGGGAGUGCUGCCAGGCAGCUUGGCUGCCACAGUGCAACGCUCCCAAACGGUCCCUAUGAGGCUCCUCUUAGAGGCUAGAUAUUUCUAUACGUCAUUUAACAUCUAGAAUCGUAUUUCAGCAUUACUGAUUAUAAGUAGAUUGUACCUAUUACAGUAACUGUUUAUAAUAGCCCCUUUUCAUCCAGACAUGUGACCAACAAGACACUAUACAUGACAUGAAUGGUAGAGUGAAAAGCAUCAAUUAAGACAAUAGUAACAUCCUUAGAUCAAGUACUCACCAAAAGGGUAAGCACUAUUUAGCACCUUCACACACACACACCACACAUAUAUAUAAAAGCAUACUAAAGAAAGAGAUAUUCAUCAUGUAUAAACUAAACAAAAUAAUUUGUGCUAAGAUUGUUGGAAUUAACGGAAAAAAUCGGAGGAAUACCAG
rnacentral:lncRNA from 1 species